UUACAGAGCUCUCUCAGGCUGUACAUAUACUAAAAUUAGGACCAUACAGAGAAGAUUCUCAUGGCCUCUGCACAAGGAUGACAUGCAAAUUCAUAAAUCGUUCCAUAUUUUA
ensembl:snRNA U6 U6 spliceosomal RNA